GUUCUGGACUGUUCAACAGAAAUUUUGUAUUCAUACCAAGAUUUAAAUGAAAACAAAAGGGCAAGACAACAGAGAUCACUUUUCUGUACUGCUGUGUAUUCAUUUUCCUCUCUGCAAGAAUCUGGCUUCAGCCCAUCAUAGCUGGCAGUGAUACACAAGGUAAAAUGAAAAUAUUUACUGGUAAUAGUUACAGUUAGUUGUUUAGAGACCUAUGGCCCUUCAGUGCUUAUUCAGCAAAAUUAUUCCUUUAGACCCUCAUUCGGGAAAGUAUUUAAGUAUUUGCUUUAUUUUAGACGACUUUAAG
rnacentral:lncRNA from 1 species